rnacentral:rRNA from 1 species
UCCCUACGGGAGGCAGCAGUGAGGAAUAUUGGUCAAUGGGCGAGAGCCUGAACCAGCCGAGUCGCGUGAGGGAAGACGGUCCUAUGGAUUGUAAACCUCUUUUGUCGGGGAGCAAAAAGGCCUCGUGAGGCCACAAGUGAGAGUACCCGAAGAAAAAGCAUCGGCUAACUCCGUGCCAGCAGCCGCGGUAAUACGGAGGAUGCGAGCGUUAUCCGGAUUUAUUGGGUUUAAAGGGUGCGUAGGCGGAUUUUUAAGUCAGCGGUAAAAUGUCCGGGCUCAACCCGGGCCGGCCGUUGAAACUGGGG